rnacentral:misc_RNA from 1 species
GAUGAAGAACGUAGCGAAAUGCGAUAAGUAAUGUGAAUUGCAGAAUUCAGUGAAUCAUCGAAUCUUUGAACGCAUCUUGCGCUCCUUGGUAUUCUGAGGAGCAUGCCUGUUUGAGUGUCAUUAAAUUCUCAACUACACUGACUUUGAAUUGGUGUGGCUUGGAUUUGGGGGGAAAAUUGUUGUGGGCUUUUUGUAUAGUCUGCUCCCCUGAAAUUGAUUAGCGGUACCUUUGUGGAACUGUCUACAGGUGUGAUAAUUAUUUACAUCUUAGACAUCUGCUGGAAUGCUGCUUUCUAAACCUUACUUGUAUUGACAAUCUUGACCUCAAAUCAGGUAGGACUACCCGCUAAACUUAAGCAUAUCAAUAAGCGGAGGA